rnacentral:rRNA from 1 species
GAUGAACGCUGGCGGCGUGCCUAAUACAUGCAAGUCGAGCGAACAGACGAGGAGCUUGCUCCUCUGACGUUAGCGGCGGACGGGUGAGUAACACGUGGAUAACCUACCUAUAAGACUGGGAUAACUUCGGGAAACCGGAGCUAAUACCGGAUAAUAUAUUGAACCGCAUGGUUCAAUAGUGAAAGACGGUUUUGCUGUCACUUAUAGAUGGAUCCGCGCCGCAUUAGCUAGUUGGUAAGGUAACGGCUUACCAAGGCAACGAUGCGUAGCCGACCUGAGAGGGUGAUCGGCCACACUGGAACUGAGACACGGUCCAGACUCCUACGGGAGGCAGCAGUAGGGAAUCUUCCGCAAUGGGCGAAAGCCUGACGGAGCAACGCCGCGUGAGUGAUGAAGGUCUUCGGAUCGUAAAACUCUGUUAUUAGGGAAGAAAAAAAGUGUAAGUAACUAUGCACGUCUUGACGGUACCUAAUCAGAAAGCCACGGCUAACUACGUG